AGCCUACGGGACGCAGCAGUGAGGAAUAUUGGUCAAUGGCCGAGAGGCUGAACCAGCCAAGUCGCGUGAGGGAAGACGGCCCUACGGGUUGUAAACCUCUUUUAUAUGGGAAUAAAAUGUUCCACGUGUGGGAUUUUGUAUGUACCAUAUGAAUAAGGAUCGGCUAACUCCGUGCCAGCAGCCGCGGUAAUACGGAGGAUCCGAGCGUUAUCCGGAUUUAUUGGGUUUAAAGGGAGCGUGGGUGGAUUGUUAAGUCAGUUGUGAAAGUUUGCGGCUCAACCGUAAAAUUGCAGUUGAAACUGGCA
rnacentral:rRNA from 1 species